rnacentral:rRNA from 1 species
UACAGAGGGGGCAAGCGUUGUUCGGAAUUACUGGGCGUAAAGGGCGCGUAGGCGGCCUUCUAAGUCGAACGUGAAAUCCCCGGGCUCAACCCGGGAACUGCGUCCGAUACUGGAGGGCUUGAAUCCGGGAGAGGGAUGCGGAAUUCCAGGUGUAGCGGUGAAAUGCGUAGAUAUCUACAGGGACUCCGGUGGCGAAAGCGGCGUGCUGGAUCUCUUCUGACGCUGAGGCUCGAAAGCUAGGGGAGCAAACGGG